GUGGUAUUUAAGCUCGCUGGGUGCUGAGUCUAGUUAACAAUCACAAUAUAUUGGUACACUUUACUAUAGGCCGGGUAUCUUUAAUGUCAAUCACAAUAUAUUGGUACACUAUACUAUAGGCCGGGUAUCUUUAAUGUCAAUCACAAUAUAUUGGUACACUAUACUAUAGUCCGGGUAUCUUUAAUAUCAAUCACAAUAUAUUGGUACACUAUACUAUUGUCC
rnacentral:lncRNA from 1 species